GAGAAAGAUUAAUAAGAACUGCUAACUCUUAUAACUGAAAUUAAAAACCUCAGCUCUCUCA
rnacentral:tRNA from 1 species